rnacentral:lncRNA from 12 species
CGCCUGAAAGCAAUAGGAUGAGAGUAGACACAACGAUGCCCCUCUCUCAGGAUACCUUGUGCUCCUUGCGUUGUGAGGUGAAAGGAGCUAGUGGCUGUGUCAUGACAGUUCUUCCCAGUGACUCUCAUCCCUGAGCGACAGGGUCGUCAGGGCCCAACGUUCCUUUCCUUUGCAAGCAACCUCAUGGAGAGCAGCAGAGGACGAUGCGGGUGUCCCCACUUCGAGACGCAGGCCGCCACAAAGAUUCCAAUUAUCCAUAACCAGAGACAUAGAGAGAUCGACAGGCGAGUCGAUGACUAGGCGAGGAAAGAAAUGAGGAAAGCAAUGGGCAUGACUGAAGAAAGUGGCCCCUAAGGAAGGAAGGCAACCAGUCCAUCCGUCAAUGGAUCCAGUGAAAGGCUUGAGGCCCACCAGGAAAGAGUCAGGAGGGAAAGCCAAACUUCCAGGGAGGUCGUAUUGGAGGAAAGGGUUCGCCGACCCUGGAGAGAGAGUCCGUGGAACCACGCCUCCUCCACGUUCUGUGGUGUUGGCAGGAGUCCGGUUGCCACGACCCUGGAAGCUGGCAGCGUGGGCAGGACCGCAGGGGGCCCCGGCUUCACCAGUCCUGUGCCCAUAGCAGGAACUCCAGAACGUUCCGGGGGCUUCAUAGAAGUACCUGGUAGUGGGAGCACACUUGGAAACCCCAGCACGGCAGGGACGACCUUGCGGUUCAGAGGAGGAACCACUCUAGGUGUUCGGAGUGAACCUUCUGGGACAGGUGUUGGCGGGAGUCCGGUGGCCACGACCCUGGAAGCUGGCAGCGUGGGCAGGACCGCAGGGGGCCCUGGCUUCACCAGUCCUGGGCACCUAGCAGUGACCUCAGAAGGUUCAGAGUCCUUCAGAAAAGCAUCGGGGUUUGAGGACACAAGUGGUGUCCCAACUGCUCCAAGUUCAUCCUUGGGCGUCAGACAAGCCAUACCUAAGGUCUUGUUUGAAGCAACCCCUGGAACUGGAAGUGGCAGUACCCCUGGGAAAGCAGGCACUAGAUCCCCAAGUACUAGGAAAUCAGGCGAGUCUGGUCCUCACUUUCAGCUGUGUCCAACCAUACCUCCCUCA